rnacentral:rRNA from 1 species
GUUACUGACGCUUAAGCUCGAAAGUGCGGGUAUCGAACAGGAUUAGAUACCCUGGUAGUCCGCACGGUAAACGAUGGAUGCCCGCUGUUUGCGCCUGGCGUAAGCGGCUAAGUGAAAACGUUAAGCAUCCCACCUGGGGAGUACGCCGGCAACGGUGAAACUCAAAGGAAUUGACGGGGGCCCGCACAAGCGGAGGAACAUGUGGUUUAAUUCGAUGAUACGCGAGGAACCUUACCCGGGCUUGAAUUGUGAGAGAACGACCCAGAGAUGGGAAGGCCCUUCGGGGCUCUCAUGAAGGUGCUGCAUGGUUGUCGUCAGCUCGUGCCGUGAGGUGUCGGCUUAAGUGCCAUAACGAGCGCAACCCCUCUCCAUAGUUGCCAUCAGGUAAAGCUGGGCACUCUGUGGACACUGCCACCGUAAGGUGAGAGGAAGGUGGGGAUGACGUCAAAUCAGCACGGCCCUUACGUCCGGGGCUACACACGUGUUACAAUGGCCGGUACAGAGAGCAGGGAGCCCGCAAGGUCUCUCAAAUCAAUAAAUCCGGUCUCAGUUCGGACUGGGGUCUGCAACCCGACCCCACGAAGCUGGAUUCGCUAGUAA